GCCAAAGUGCAAAGUGCAUUAACGGCCCGGUAAUACAUGCUUUGUCAUGUCCCAUUGUUUUCAGAGGAUAACGUUUAUCUUUCAAGAGGAAAGAACAAGAAAAGGUCCUUGAAAAAUUUGGGAACCAAGGUCAAAUUUUCUUGUGAGAGUUUAGCAGAAUGGAAGACAUACAUUUGGAGAUGUGGGGUGGCAGGCUGUUGGCUGCCUGGAGCUUCUUGCUGGACUUCAGACAUCUCACUGAUGGUGGCCAGGCACAGAGGGAUCAGCCAAGAGGCCUGCCAGAGCCCAGUAUCCUGCAACACUAGGACCAGAUGGAACAUGGAUAGUGCCUCACCUGCAUUCUGGAAUCUGAUGCCAGCUGACUUUACCUCAGGCAGGACACAUGAUUCUUCAAAGGCCCUUAGAUUUGGUAUUGCUUUUGGUUUAAGAGGAAUGCAGCAGGCCAUCUCUUGAGGACAUAUUAAAGAUCACAACAACACAGACAGCAGCAGCUCUUUUGUUCUGCAAGGCUCUUACUGUGAGAGGAAUGGCUCUGACACAGCCUUAUGCCAACCUGUUUUAGUUGACACAGGAAGAGAUGUAUAAGCCAAAUCUGUCAGAGUUGAAGAGACAGAGAGCCACCAGUAAUUCUCACCAUUAGUGAUCCCUCAUAGAAUUGCCAAAAUUCUCCAGUAAAGCUGCUCAUUGGGCAAAAAAUAAUGAUUUUUUCACAAAAAUCAAUAUUUUUGUUAAAGGCAUAUCUGGAGUUUUUCUGCCCCCAGUUAUUUGAAGUUUUCAUUGAAACACCGUAUGCUUCAAUUUCCAAGGGGUUUUGGUCUUUUCUUUUUUUUCUUUUUUUUUUUUCCUUAAUCUUAAGAACAAUAUAAAUCAGAAUCAAAGCAGUUUUGAUACAGAAAUGCUGCUGUGAUAUCUGAUUCCUGGUCAGACACACUUCAUGACCUUAUUGACCUGCAUGGACUGGCUUCCCUAACAAGAUGAGGUUUUCCGUGAUGCGCCGCAGUCAGAGCCGUCCCCAGGCAGUUCUGCCCUGGCUCAAGACAAAGAGAAGCUAUAGUGCAUCGUGUGGCCUGCUCAGAAAGUCAAGACCUCAAAAUAGAUGAAGGACUGAGUUAUAAACAUAGCACAGGAAACUGGGAUCUUUCUGAGGUUUGAAAUUGCAUCAUAAAGCUUUCUGCUGAAGAACUUUCCUCAGCAAAAGCCUCUCCAUUUUUUAACCAGCCCUAAGCCUUCAUUUUUGACACUGGUUUUCCUGCAUUUUCUCCUCUGUGGUCCUCACUCAUAAGCUGGAAAACCUGAGCAGGCAUUUGGGAGGAUGGAGCAAUUGUGACAGGGGACGGAGGAUUUGUCUUUUGUUUUCUGUGGGCAAGAACAAAAGGCACAGGAUUUUCAGCUUUGCACUAUGUGUUUCAGCUGACUGUAUAUGAUAUGUGUGCUAAUGUUUUGGGUUUUCAUC
rnacentral:lncRNA from 1 species